CGAAACACAGAGAGAGAGAGAGAGCGCGCGCGAAAGAGAGAGUGGUGAUUCCGUUUUGCUGUGAGGAGGAAGAAGAUCUGGGUCUUGGAUAGGUCUGCCGUUUACCUUUUGGGUUGGUUCCUUGGAAAUUAUUUAUAAGCUGUUUCCGCUGUGUCCAGAAAUCGGAGAAGCUGAUCCAGGAAUUGGAUUUGCCUAAUCUACAGCAGUGUAAAUUUGGGUUAGGGUAACAGAGCGAAGAGGAAUACCAGGAGUUCGUAGAAGAUGUGCAGCCCUAUCUCACCCAGCCUGGCUCCGACUGUAAAUCUGCCCUCGCUUUUCUCCAAGAAAGGGGCUAGAUUGGCAGAAGUUGUACAGAAGUUGGGAAGAUAAUCCGGAUGUCGGUUUAUUGCAUUCAAGGGCAGUGGCAAGGCAUUUUGUGCGGGUGGAGAUAUAGUGUCUCUAUCAUUUCAGCAAGGAAAACAAAAAGAAGGAAAUAAAUUCAUACAACAGGAAAAAUAAGAUACAUAUUCUAUUCACUAUUUAGUAAGUGAGGUUUUGGCUCUUGGUUCUUGAUCUUUAAAGAGCUUUUGGUUAUUCCUAUGCAGAUUAUGAGGGAACGGAGGAAAUGAGGACCAAAAAGGAGCACAAACUGAUAGGGAGACGAAACUUGCUCCCCCUUCUUUCUUUCUUUGUUAUUUUUCCCCAUGUUUUUGCUUUCUUUAGCUUAGUUUGUUUCUGUUUCAUAUCCUAGAUAAGUGAUACAAAGAGAAUGGGUUUGUAUGAGCAAUUAGGAGUGGCUAAGUGACAGAUUUUGUUUAAGCAAAGUAUGCAUGGCUUCUUUCUCUUUUGUUUGUUGUUGUUGUUCUUAAUAAUGUUGCUUAUGUCUAAGUUGCGAUUGAGAUUGGUGUGUAAUUUCCAUUGUGAUCCAAUAAUAUUGUUCUGAAAUGUAUGAAAAAUGGUCUUCACAUUUGAACAGACUUAGUUUUGCAAGGUCUUCCUUUCUCCUUAUUUGAGGUCUGUGUGUUUGUUUUAUUUUUCUCAGAUAUGGUGGGACUUUUAUCUCUUAAUUGAUUAUUGUGUUGUCAGUGUUUACUUUUCUUUAUGUCUUUAGGCAUUGAAAAUCUGAUCUUUU